UACGAAGGGGGGCUAGCGUUGCUCGGAAUUACUGGGCGUAAAGGGCGCGUAGGCGGACAGUUAAGUCAGAGGUAGAAAGCCCAGGGCUCAACCCUGGAAUAGCCUUUGAUACUGGCUGUCUUGAGUGCGGGAGAGGUGUGUGGAACUCCGAGUGAUAGAGGUGAAAUUCGUAAGAUAUUCGGAAGAACACCAGUGGCGAAGGCGACAC
rnacentral:rRNA from 1 species